AAAAAUGCCAUAAAAAAUCAAAUUAUUUUGGAGAAAACAGUGUAUUUUUGGUAUAAGCGCUACUAGUUUUUAGUUUUGAUUGAAAUGAUUUCGUUUUAUUUCUCUCCCCCCAAUUUCCUCUUUUUUCCCGAUUUCCCCUUUUUUUUCAACCAAUCUCAGCCUGUUCUUCUAUUUCUCUCCCCUGAUUUCGUCUUUGAACAAAUUAUUUCCUCUUCAAACCCUAGAUCUGGGGUUUUAUUUUAUCUUCUCCCUCUCUAUUUUCCCCCUCCCUUUUCAAAAUUUUCAUUUUUUUGCCCUAUUUUAUUGUUUUUCGACUUAUCAAAAUCACAAGUGCAAAAAAGAAAAUCUCAUCUUUUCUUGAAUCUCAGAGAAUGGGGGAAUUAAAGGACAAUGACGCCUACGAGGAAGCGUUUCUCGACUACGAAGAAGAAGAUGAAAAAGCCCCUGACUCUGCCUUCACUAAGGCUGCUGAUUCUGCUAAGAAGGGUAUGUUCGAAUUCACAGUUCGGGAUUCAGAGACUUUCUGCUGAAACCGGAGCUACUUCAAUCUAUUGUGGAUUCUGGUUUUGAACAUCCUUCCGAAGGCAAAGUUUUAAACUCAUGUCUAAUUUUAACAUUCGUGAAUUCCAUGAAUUAAGUCAUUUUGUUUUUCUUGCUUUUAGUGACUUAUAAUGGUGGGCACUGGGCAGUAUACAAGUUUGGUGCUUUAUUCUUUUGAUUUACUAUUUUGGAUGAAGCAUUUGUUGUUACAGGAUAUGCUUUGUAGUAAUCUUUGAAAUACUUUGCCUUGAAAUUAUAUUUUCUCAACUUAAUAUCUCUAGGCAUGAAAGUCUUCAAAAUUAACAUAGCUUUUCUUUUCUGUUGAUUCAAACUGUUCAUUUAAACUCUUUUAUUAUAUAUUAGUAGUAAAUCAAAUACGGUAAUGAUUAUAGCUUCUUUUUCUUUAAAGUAUGAAGAAUGAUGCAUUUUUGGACUUUGAUCAAUAGGUGUACUUAAUCAUUCUUUGCAAAUCACAACUGUAUGCCUUACUUUUACAUGUAACCCUUGCCAAUCCUCCCAACAAGAGAAAAACGAAGAGGAGAAAAAAGAAAUAGGAAAUCAUACUUGUUUUGAGUGUAUAAAAGUGGUCUUCUACUGUCUCUAUGCUAAUGCAGUCGCUAUAUUCUUUUGUUUUGGGUUUCUCGAGUUCCACUUUUAAUCUGUCCUGAAUUUGUUAAGUGCAAUUAUCAUAUUCUAAUUACAUAUUAUUGGGAAAUAAAUUUUUGUGGAUGGUGAGAAUUGGAGGUGGAGUCUUCCCUGUAAUCAAAGAACCUAAUUACCUCGUUAAUGGUGAAUAUCGUGUUGAUAAAGGCGCUACUCCUAAAAUGGGAGCCCAGGCUCCUCCUAUUCCUGGAUCUACUCAAACCUCCAAGAAUGUUUGGAAUGCGACAACCACCUACGAAGAUUGAUCCUAAUCAAAUUCCAAGGCCCAUUCCAAGUUCCUCACCAAUCGUGUAUGAAACUCGCCAAGGCAACUCAGCAAAUCCUCCUCCGGUAAAAGCCUGCUACUAGCGAUUACAUUGUCAGAGACACUAGGAAUUGCGCUCCUUGUUAUAUGAGAUGCACCACCAAUCAGGUUGUGAUUUUAGGGAAAGUGGUCCUGUUCAGUGUUCCCAUUGCAAAGGUUACAUAAAUCCUUUCAUGAAGUUCAUUGAUCAGGAAAGGAAGUUUAUCUGCAAUUUAUGCGUGCCCCCAGAAUUUAGAACUAUUGCUUGAAAACAUCCCAACAAUGUUUCAGAGUAGUACAACUGCUAAGUCAUGUUUUGCUGCUGCAAUCAAGGUACAUAUUAUGCACAGCCUUUUCAACGACUUCUACAUUAACAGACUGGAGUAGUGUACAAAAAUCUUUUAGACACUUGCAGACUAUUCAAAUCUAUAAUAUUUUUUCCCCUCUGUUUUUAGGUUCAUUGGCAUCUUGUCCUGAUGACAGUGUAGUUUAUGAAGCUUUAAACUUUGCAUUGUUCUUCGAGGUAUUAGAAUUCCUAGUUCAAAACUUAGCAAUUUGUCUUUUAUAAAAGACCAAAUUUCUAAUUUUCAAUGUUGUUUAGGUUCGCAAACAAGAUGCUGAAUUUGGACUUGCUGUUAGUAAAAGACUUACUGUAUUUUAUUUAUAUCUUUAUAUUUAAUCUAAUUCUUAUUAUUUAUUUUA